UAUCAAUUUCCCCCCUCGCUUUUAUCACUUUUCUUUUCCUUUGUUUAUUUUUUACACCUCUUUCAAAGUCUCCUCCUUCUCCUCUCUUACUUUCAAGCGUUCAUCUCUUUUUUAGCACUUUUCUUUACUCCUUAUAUUUUUACAGCUCUCGUACUCUCUUCCUUUUACCCCUUUCUUUAGGCUUUUCAGUCCUCCUCGUGCUCCUCUCUGGUGCUGCCUGACAAAACAUGGCACAAUGGCAAACACACACUGUCAGACACACAUACAGACAGCAAUGUCACACACACAGCAAUGUCACACACACACACAGACAGCAAUGUCAGACACACACACACACACAGCAAUGUCACACACACAUACAGACAGCAAUGUCACACACACACAGCAAUGUCACACACACACACAGACAGCAAUGUCACACACACACACACAACGAUGUCAGAC